rnacentral:rRNA from 1 species
GACGAACGCUGGCGGCGUGCCUAACACAUGCAAGUCGAGCGAGUGAAUCUCCUUCGGGAGUGAAGCUAGCGGCGGACGGGUGAGUAACACGUGGGCAACCUGCCUCAUAGAGGGGAAUAGCCUUCCGAAAGGGAGAUUAAUACCGCAUAAGAUUGUAGCUUCGCAUGAAGUAGCAAUUAAAGGAGCAAUCCGCUAUGAGAUGGGCCCGCGGCGCAUUAGCUAGUUGGUGAGGUAAUGGCUCACCAAGGCGACGAUGCGUAGCCGACCUGAGAGGGUGAUCGGCCACAUUGGGACUGAGACACGGCCCAGACUCCUACGGGAGGCAGCAGUGGGGAAUAUUGCACAAUGGGGGAAACCCUGAUGCAGC